UGUUCCAGGUCUUCCUUUCUGCUGGAUAUGGCUGAAUCACAGCUGCUAAAGAACAUAGGGGAUGUGAUAGCAGGAGUGCUUCCGGACCUUCCUGAUCAACUUGUUAAGUCCGUUGAAGAUACUUUAAAAACACUUGGUGCGGCAACCACAGAUGAUUUAAAGAACAUCACAGAAAACGAUUUGCUGCCAGUGUUAAAGCCCAUACAAGCACGAAGACUGGUUGCUGCCUGGACCCAAAAUAUCAUUUAGUUGAAUCUUCUGAGGAGAAGUGGGUUCCACACACCAGCUAUCAACCAGAAAAGAGGUUCAAGCAGUCUCCCAACUCAGCACCUGUUUCAGCUCUACCAGUAAGAGUGAAGGGGCUGGAUGUUCUCUGGUUCAGGCAAACUUUCUUGUAGUUUUAUUAUCAAAAAUACCCUUAAUAUAUUACACAAAUGCUUAACGUAUAAUGUAACGGUGUGUUUUGGGAAGACUAUUUUAAGGAAUGUGGUGAUAUUUUGCAAUGAGCUCAGACAGCUAACGUGCUUCAUUUGAAGGUCAUGUUCAGUUCACUUUGUAAAAUUUGAAUGAAAUGUUUCAAAAUACACGAUUAUUGUGUAAGUUAUAGUUAUUACAAUAAACUGUAUUUAAAUGGGUUGUGGGUUGUGGAUCGAGUUAAUAGAAUCUUUAGUAUUUAAGUCAAAGAAUCAUACAAAAGCCAUAUGAUACACAGUCAUACGCCUAAUGCUAAUUACAAAUGCUAAAUUGAGAAUGAAUCUUUCUUUUUGGAUAAAUCUUUGCUUGAUUUGCGUUAGAGGACGGCUUAAAGACCAGACAGAAUCCUCUGCCAGCUGGUCAGUUACAUUUCACCGUCCGUGUUUUGCUUUCUGUGAAUCAGUUUUGGCUAACGUUAAUGCUAAACACGUGAUUAUUGAGUUAUAGUUAUAGGGGAUUCUUAGCCUUGUUAACCCUGUGGUUAUUUAUGAUCUUAGAUGUACAACAUAACGUGCUUCACAUAACAUCCGGUCUAAAACACAGAAAAUAUAUCAUCAUGUUGAAUUAUCAGCAAAUGUCUAGUAUUUCAGGAGCUUAGCGUGGUUGUGAUCACCUCUGCUUCACACACAAAAGUGGUCGUAAAACAAUAAGGAGAGACAAAAGCCCCAUGUGCUAGGU